GGAAGGUUGGCGGUGGACGGUGCCCUCGCCAAGUCGGUCAGGUCCGGAAGGAAGCAGCCGUAACGAGUUUCGCGUCGGGUCGCACGUCAGCCUUCCACC
rfam:Rhodospirillales bacterium B29T1 genome assembly, contig: Ga0116950_104